GGCGAGAUGGCCGAGCGGUCUAAGGCGCCAGACUAAGGACCAGCCUGCAUUGGCAGGCAAGGUAUCUGGUCCGAAAGGGCGUGGGUUCGAAUCCCACUCUCGUCA
rfam:Coprinopsis cinerea okayama7#130 chromosome 11 cont3.11, whole genome shotgun sequence.